UACGUAGGGUGCAAGCGUUGUCCGGAAUUAUUGGGCGUAAAGAGCUCGUAGGCGGUUCGUCGCGUCGGCUGUGAAAACCUGAGGCUCAACCUCGGGCCUGCAGUCGAUACGGGCGGACUGGAGCUCGGCAGGGGAGACUGGAAUUCCUGGUGUAGCGGUGAAAUGCGCAGAUAUCAGGAGGAACACCGGUGGCGAAGGCGGGUCUCUGGGCCGAUACUGACGCUGAGGAGCGAAAGCGUGGGGAGCGAACAGG
rnacentral:rRNA from 1 species